UACGUAGGACCCAAGCGUUAUCCGGAAUUACUGGGCGUAAAGAGUUGCGUAGGUGGCAGAGUAAGUAAGGAGUGAAAAGCGUUCGGCUCAACCGAAAUAUACAUUUCUUAAACUGCUCAGCUAGAGAAUGAGAGAGGUCACUGGAAUUCCAAGUGUAGGAGUGAAAUCCGUAGAUAUUUGGAGGAACACCGAUGGCGUAGGCAGGUGACUGGCCCAUUUCUGACACUAAGGCACGAAAGCGUGGGGAGCAAACAGG
rnacentral:rRNA from 1 species